rnacentral:rRNA from 1 species
GACGAACGCUGGCGGCGCGCCUAACACAUGCAAGUCGAACGGUGAACGGGGCUUCGGCUCCGGGAUCAGUGGCGAACGGGUGCGUAACACGUGGGCAACCUGCCCCAGACCCUGGGAUAACCCCGGGAAACCGGAGCUAAUACCGGAUACUCCGGCCGAACCGCAUGGCUCGGCCGGGAAAGGUCCGCCGGUCUGGGAUGGGCCCGCGGCCUAUCAGCUUGUUGGUGAGGUAACGGCUCACCAAGGCGACGACGGGUAGCUGGUCUGAGAGGACGACCAGCCACACUGGGACUGAGAUACGGCCCAGACUCCUACGGGAGGCAGCAGUGGGGAAUCUUGCACAAUGGGCGAAAGCCUGAUGCAGCGACGCCGCGUGAGGGAUGAAGGCCUUCGGGUCGUAAACCUCUUUCGGCAGGGACGAAGCGAAAGUGACGGUACCUGCAGAAGAAGCACCGGCCAACUACGUGCCAGCAGCCGCGGUAAUACGUAGGGUGCAAGCGUUGUCCGGAAUUAUUGGGCGUAAAGAGCUCGUAGGCGGUUUGUUGCGUCGGCUGUGAAAUCCCGAGGCUCAACCUCGGGUCUGCAGUCGAUACGAGCAAACUAGAGUGUUGCAGGGGAGACUGGAAUUCCUGGUGUAGCGGUGAAAUGCGCAGAUAUCAGAGGAACACCGGUGGCGAAAGCGGGUCUCUGGGCAACAACUGACGCAGGGGAGCGAAAGCGUGGGGAGCGAACAGGAUUAGAUACCCUGGUAGUCCACGCCGUAAACGUUGGGCGCUAGGUGUGGGGCUCAUUCCACGAGUUCCGUGCCGCAGCUAACGCAUUAAGCGCCCGCCUGGGGAGUACGCCGCAGGCUAA